rnacentral:rRNA from 1 species
GAUGAACGCUGGCGGCGUGCCUAAUACAUGCAAGUCGAGCGAACAGACGAGGAGCUUGCUCCUUCGACGUUAGCGGCGGACGGGUGAGUAACACGUAGGUAGCCUACCUAUAAGACUGGGAUAACUUCGGGAAACCGGAGCUAAUACCGGAUAAUAUUUCGAACCGCAUGGUUCGAUAGUGAAAGAUGGCUUUGCUAUCACUUAUAGAUGGACUUGCGCCGUAUUAGCUAGUUGGUAAGGUAACGGCUUACCAAGGCAACGAUACGUAGCCGACCUGAGAGGGUGAUCGGCCACACUGGAACUGAGACACGGUCCAGACUCCUACGGGAGGCAGCAGUAGGGAAUCUUCCGCAAUGGGCGAAAGCCUGACGGAGCAACGCCGCGUGAGUGAUGAAGGUCUUCGGAUCGUAAAACUCUGUUAUUAGGGAAGAACAAACGUGUAAGUAACUGUGCACGUCUUGACGGUACCUAAUCAGAAAGCCACGGCUAACUACGUG